rnacentral:rRNA from 1 species
CAAUGCCGCGUGAAGGGAAGAAGGCCUUACGGGGGUGUAAAACUCUUUAGAAAGAAACGGUGAUGACCGUACCGGAAGAAUAAGCUGCGGCUAAAUAACAAGAAAGGCAGCCGCGGUAAU